ACCUAGCUGGCUCAGUCAGAAGAGCAUAUGACUUACAAUCUCAGGGUCAUGAGUUUGAGCCCCAUGUUGGGUG
rnacentral:tRNA from 1 species